GCCCAGCCCCGGGCUGGGCUGUGCGGGGCACCCAAGGGGGCUGGGGGUCGCUGGCCCAUCCU
rnacentral:miRNA from 1 species